GACCUGCGGAGGAUCAUUG
rnacentral:rRNA from 2 species